rnacentral:lncRNA from 1 species
UCUAUCGAGCACCCAUCACCGAUCACCCAUCUAAUCUCCGGAAGCACCACCAUAGCCCUGGCACACAUCACACGCCAUAUCGGAGAGUGGUGACGCUCCACCCGCCCUCCAGGCACCAAGACACCAUAUUUGGCCCUCAUCAGUGAGGACCACAUGCUCUCUGGCUCAAGCACAAAUCUGACUACAUGCCUAGCCGCUAACACCUCCCGUCUCGUCA